AAGCUCGUAGUUGAAUUUCGGGAUUGACACAUCGGUCGUGCCUUAAGGGGUAUGAACUGGUGUAGUCAAUUUCUCACCUUCUGGAGAACCGCGAUGCCCUUAAUUGGGUGUCACGGGGAACCAGGACCUUUACUUUGAAAAAAUUAGAGUGUUUAAAGCAGGCAUUUUGCUUGAAUACAUUAGCAUGGAAUAAUAAAAUAGGACGGCAUGAUUCUAUUUUGUUGGUUUCUAGGAUCACCGUAAUGAUUAAUAGGGAUAGUUGGG
rnacentral:rRNA from 1 species